rnacentral:rRNA from 1 species
AGAGUUUGAUCCUGGCUCAGAUUGAACGCUGGCGGUAUGCCUAACACAUGCAAGUCGAACGAGGUAGCAAUACCUAGUGGCGGACGGGUGAGGAAUACGUAGGGAUCUGCCCUUAAGUGGGGGAUAACCCGGGGAAACCCGGAUUAAUACCGCAUGAUCUCGCAAGAGCAAAGAGGGGGACCGCAAGGCCUCUCGCUUUUGGAGGAACCUACGUCGGAUUAGCUAGUUGGUGAGGUAAUGGCUCACCAAGGCGACGAUCCGUAACUGGUCUGAGAGGAUGAUCAGUCACACCGGAACUGAGACACGGUCCGGACUCCUACGGGAGGCAGCAGUGGGGAAUAUUGGACAAUGGGCGAAAGCCUGAUCCAGCAAUACCGCGUGUGUGAAGAAGGCCUUCGGGUUGUAAAGCACUUUAAGUUGGGAAGAAAAAGCUUCACCUAAUACGUGAAGCCUUGACGGUACCGACAGAAUAAGCACCGGCUAACUCUGUGCCAGCAGCCGCGGUAAUACAGAGGGUGCUAGCGUUAAUCGGAUUUACUGGGCGUAAAGCGUGCGUAGGUGGUUUGAUAAGUCGAUUGUGAAAGCCCCGGGCUUAACCUGGGAAUUGCGGUCGAUACUGUCAGACUCGAAAACGGUAGAGGGAGGUGGAACUCCAGGUGUAGCGGUGAAAUGCGUAGAUAUCUGGAAGAACACCGAUGGCGAAGGCAGCCUCCUGGGCCUGUUUUGACACUGAGGCACGAAAGCGUGGGUAGCAAACAGGAUUAGAUACCCUGGUAGUCC